UAAUAGCGUAUAUUAAAGUUGUUGCAGUUAAAAAGCUCGUAGUCGGAUGUCGGGCUCGGGCAGGCUGUCGGCUUCGGUCGGACGGCAGGCUCGGGUCUUUCUGCCUGAGGAUCCAUCUCAUUCACUUGGGGUGGGGACGCAGGCCGUUUACUUUGAAAAAAUUAGAGUGUUCAAAGCAGGCCUACGCUUGAAUACAUUAGCAUGGAAUAAUGGAAUAGGACUUUGGUGCUAUUUUGUUGGUUUAUGGGACCGAAGUAAUGAUUAACAGGGACAGUUGGGGCCGUUUAUAUUUCGUUGUCAGAGGUGAAAUUCUUGGAUUUACGAAAGAUAAACUUCUGCGAAAGCAUUCGGCAAGGAUGUUUUCAUUGAUCAAGAACGAAAGUUAGGGGAUCGAAGAUGAUCAGAUACCGU
rnacentral:rRNA from 1 species